UACGGGGGGGGGCAAGCGUUGUUCGGAAUUACUGGGCGUAAAGGGCUCGUAGGCGGCCAACUAAGUCGGACGUGAAAUCCCUCGGCUCAACCGGGGGAACUGCGUCCGAUACUGGAUGGCUUGAGUUCGGGAGAGGGAUGCGGAAUUCCAGGUGUAGCGGUGAAAUGCGUAGAUAUCUGGAGGAACACCGGUGGCGAAGGCGGCAUCCUGGACCGACACUGACGCUGAGGAGCGAAAGCCAGGGGAGCAAACGGG
rnacentral:rRNA from 1 species